rnacentral:lncRNA from 1 species
GGGACUUUGAAUCCAAUGGUCAGUGACCUGUCCCUAACACUAGGAUUAAGGCUUCAUUACCUGAGAGGGAGUUCAUUGAUGGGAAAUUCUUCAAGCAACUUCCCUGAGGCAGAUGACAGUCAAAAUACAAAGGUUCUGUCCUGGGAAAUCCAGUUUGUCAUAAGAGAUACAGACUUUGGAAUAUGAUGGUGCUGUAAUUUUCAAAAUCAGGCUGCUCAUUAUUCACAAUAGCCAAGACUUGGAAGCAACCUAGGUGCUCAUCAAGGGAUGAAUGGAUAAAGGAGAUGUGCUGUAUAUGCACAAUGGAAUACUACUCAGCCAUGAAGAAGAAUGAAAUCUGGCCAUUUGUAACAACAUGGAUGGACCUUGAAGGUGCAAGAACUUCCAGGACAUUCUUUUCCUCUGACAUGGCAACUGCCAACUUCAAGAAGGUGGCUGCCCUGUCAUCCUGGGUCCUUGAAUGACUGCUAUGAGCAGAGACCUCUUGGCAACUUUGGACAGGCACUUAACAUGUGAGUAUCUGGCUACAUGCCCUGUGGGCAUGUAUCAUGCACGAAAAAUAAACCUUUAUCAUUUUAAGCCACUGAGAUUUGGGAGUUUUUGUUACUGAACAUACACUAGCCUAUCCUGAUUAAUUCAGCAUCCAAGCUUUUGAACCAAGAAGAAGCAAGGACACUGGGAACCUUGAGAUUGCAGGAAGCCUUUGCUGACAUCACCUUUGAGGAAUUAUGGAUCCCUAAUAGUUUUGGUGUUUUGUGAGGAUCUCUAUUUCCGGAGAGCUGCAAUAUGAAGACCCUAAAACCCUGUUGAAGAUUUUUUGAAUUUAAGGACCCUCUCAUGAUCCUAGAGAAUAUGACCUUCAGUACCUGAUCUAUGCCACAACUCCCUAUAGAGAUACUCGAUAGACAUCAAUGCACACUGAAAGGAAGUAACGAGCUGGGGCAAAGAUAUUGCUGCCCUUCCAUCAGCGCUCCCCACCUGAACAGGGCGUUGGGAUUACAAGCAUGCGUUCUGGAGCUGGAUGCUUGGGUUCAAAUUCCAGCUCCAUCAUUUACUAGCUGCAUGGCCUAUGGGCAAAUUUCUUAAU